GAGCUAGUAGGCUAGUUAGGAAAAAGUGCAGGUGGGAGCUACCUGGGACAGAAGAUUUGGGAGGGAGUAAGGUAUGCUCCCCUGGUAAAGAUGAACUCCCAGAAGAGAAGCUGGGAAGUUGCUGGGAAGAGCAAGAUAUGUUGUUUUGGAAGACUGCUAUGGAUAUCAGAUGUGCCACUCUGCCAACUUCAACUGAGCCUCACAAGAACUCUAUGAGUGUCACUGCAUUCCAGGAUGCAGUUCCCUGUCUUAUACGUGUGCAGAGAUUGAUGCUGCAGUUGAGUCUUCUCCUGAGAAUGCUCUUUACAUGGCAAGCAGAGGCUUAUCCUAUUGCAAAUCUGGAAAAACAAG